UACGUAGGAGACGAGCGUUGUCCGGAGUUACUGGGCGUAAAGGGUGCGCAGGCGGCCUUGCGCGUCGCGAGUGAAAUCUCCCGGCUCAACUGGGAGGGUGGUCGCGAGACGGCAGGGCUUGAGGCUCGGUGAGGGGCGUGGAAUUCCGGGUGGAGCGGUGAAAUGCGUAGAGAUCCGGAGGAACACCGACGGCGUAGGGCAGCGCCCUAGACGAGACCUGACGCUCAGGCACGAAAGCGCGGGGAGCGAACAGG
rnacentral:rRNA from 1 species